GCCUGGGUGGCUCAGUCGGUUGGGCAUCUGACUUCGGCUCAGGUCAUGAUCUCGCGGUCUGUGAGUUCGAGCCCCGCAUCGGGCU
rnacentral:tRNA from 1 species